AGCACGCGGAGCCUCGUUGGCUAGCUCCUUAAUCUGAGUGAACAAAAAUUAAUUGGCGAAAACAAUUACGCUCUCGCUGCCUAACCGAAGUACAGUAAGUUACUGGCUUAAUCGCGUCACAAGGUGAUGCGACGAGACACCGCUCCGAGGAUGUCGUUCCGAAUCCAAAGAUAAAGUGGUGCAGGUAAAAUCGGAAAUAGUUCACGGAGGCCCCGUUCCGCGGAUGAAAUUUUAGGGGAUAAGGCGGCAGUUGGUGGUCCGGGUCUUGCUGUCGCACGAAAACCGAAGGCCGGAAUAAGCGUGUAGAAAGCACAUGAUUUCCUUGUGCGGACGUGGGUUCGAAUCCCACCAGCUCCAC
rnacentral:tmRNA from 1 species